rnacentral:rRNA from 1 species
UACGGAGGGUGCAAGCGUUAAUCGGAAUUACUGGGCGUAAAGCGUGCGCAGGCGGUUUGUUAAGUCCGUUGUGAAAUCCCCGAGCUCAACUUGGGAAUUGCAAUGGAUACUGGCAAGCUGGAGUAUGGUAGAGGAAGGUGGAAUUCCCGGUGUAGCAGUGAAAUGCGUAGAGAUGUGGAGGAACACCGAUGGCGAAGGCAGCCCCCUGGGCUGAGAUUGACGCUCAGGCACGAAAGCGUGGGGAGCAAACAGG